rnacentral:rRNA from 1 species
AGUGAACGCUGGCGGUAGGCCUAACACAUGCAAGUCGAACGGCAGCACAGUAAGAGCUUGCUCUUACGGGUGGCGAGUGGCGGACGGGUGAGGAAUACAUCGGACUCUACUUUUUCGUGGGGGAUAACGUAGGGAAACUUACGCUAAUACCGCAUACGACCUACGGGUGAAAGCAGGGGAUCUUCGUACCUUGCGCGAUUGAGUGAGCCGAUGUCGGAUUAGCUAGUUGGCGGGGUAAAGGCCCACCAAGGCGACGAUCCGUAGCUGGUCUGAGAGGAUGAUCAGCCACACUGGAACUGAGACACGGUCCAGACUCCUACGGGAGGCAGCAGUGGGGAAUAUUGGACAAUGGGCGCAAGCCUGAUCCAGCCAUACCGCGUGGGUGAAGAAGGCCUUCGGGUUGUAAAGCCCUUUUGUUGGGAAAGAAAAUCAGCAGGUUAAUACCCCGCUAUACUGACGGUACCCAAAGAAUAAGCACCGGCUAACUUCGUG